rnacentral:rRNA from 1 species
AACGAACGCUGGCGGCAUGCCUAACACAUGCAAGUCGAACGGGAUCCUAGCUUGCUAGGUGAGAGUGGCGGACGGGUGAGUAACACGUGGGAAUCUGCCUUUUGGUUCGGGAUAACCGCGGGAAACUGCGGCUAAUACCGAAUGCCCUCGAGAGAGGAAAGAUUUAUCGCCAGAAGAGGAGCCCGCGUCCGAUUAGGUAGUUGGUGGGGUAAAAGGCCUACCAAGCCGACGAUCGGUAGCUGGUCUGAGAGGAUGAUCAGCCACACUGGGACUGAGAUACGGCCCAGACUCCUACGGGAGGCAGCAGUGGGGAAUAUUGGACAAUGGGGGGCAACCCUGAUCCAGCAAUGCCGCGUGAGUGAUGAAGGCCUUAGGGUUGUAAAGCUCUUUUGCCAGGGAAGAUGAUGACUGUACCUGGAGAAUAAGCCCCGGCUAACUUCGUGCCAGCAGCCGCGGU